AGCAGCAGCUGGCCAGCCCCUGUGCCUCUCUUUUCUGGGCAGAACAACAGCCCCAAAGGCAUCUUCUUGGGUUCGUGCUGUUCUUCGGCCUCACCCUGGUGCAUCUUGGUCAGUACUUCCCACAGGUGUCCGAUCUGAUUGGGCACGUCUCUUGCACUGGACAGCUAUCCAGGAAUUUCUGCGCCAUUUUUGGUCAUCAUAUCCUGUAACCAGUGCUGUCCUUUAUAAUAUGACAAAUAUAGUAUACCAACCAAUGUCGCUGCCUCUCUGCGGCGGGCGGGCGGCCUCUAGACAACCGGCAGCUCGGCCUCUGGGUAGCGUCCAGGUCCAGCGUUGUCUCAUCACCUCCUUCUUGCAACCGGUAGCUCAGAUCCUUCCAAGACAACCACAACAUGUUCGUGGUCACCUUGACCAUCUAUAAACUUCUUGUGAAGGAUAGCAGUGCAGUGGAGAAGCAGGAGCAGAUGUUACCUCAGGAUGGAGAAAUCAUUUAAUGUUUUAUGUGAAAGCUGAUUUGUUUCCUUUUGCCCAAAAGUUGGAUUCGGGUCAGCGAUUGGUCCAUAUGAUGCCUGUAAACCCCCGCAAGAUGGUCUUCGUGAGCACCCAAGAGAUAUUCGAGGUACCUCUCCGUCCUGAAGAAAGGCUCCAUAAUUCCUCUCACUGUAAACUGAAUGAGCCCAACGAAGGCCUUAAUGAUCUCAUGAAUGAUCCAGCUAACCAUGGUUCUAGUAAGCCAAAAAAAAACUUCUUUCUUUUUCCAUGUCUAUUUGAUUUGUUUGAUAUCUGAAAGCACACCAUCCAUCUGAUCGUAGAAGUCAAUUUUUCAUUCUUAUUGGUGAAUAUGACCUGCACAUGGAAUUUUCGUUUUUCUAUGACUCUCACAACUUUUUAUGCCUUUUCGUGCGAGGUGGUGUGGUAAGAAGCGCAUCGAAUUUGGAGCUAGCGGCUAGCCUCUUGCGGUGACGGACUAGGAGCAGUGUGCUCAAUGCUAUGUUGAUUUGAGAUUCUCCACUAGCACGUGGUAGCUUGUUCAAAAUGAUUUUUGUGAUGAAUUCGAGAUCCUAUGCCUAGGAUGUGAUCGUGUGAAAACAGAUGGAAUGCAAUUUUUUACAAUUGUAACCAAACGGUUCUAUAUUUUCGUGACUAUGGCUUUUUAUACGAAGCCACAAUUGUUCAUGGAACCAUAAUUGGGGAUAUUGUGUUGAUGGUAUUAUUUUCUAGCAAGAUUCUCAGAUUUACAACUA